rnacentral:rRNA from 1 species
UGGGGAAUUUUGGACAAUGGGGGCAACCCUGACCCAGCGAUGCCGCGUGAGGGAAGACGGUCUUCGGAUUGUAAACCUCUGUCUUUGGGGACGAAGAAGGACGGUACCCAAGGAGGAAGCUCCGGCUAACUACGUGCCAGCAGCCGCGGUAAUACGUAGGGAGCGAGCGUUGUCCGGAAUUACUGGGUGUAAAGGGAGCGUAGGCGGGAUUGCAAGUUGGAUGUGAAAACUGCGGGCUCAACCCGGAGAGUGCAUUCAAAACUGCGAUUCUUGAGUGAAGUAGAGGCAAGCGGAAUUCCUAGUGUAGCGGUGAAAUGCGUAGAUAUUAGGAGGAACACCAGUGGCGAAGGCGGCUUGCUGGGCUUUUACUGACGCUGAGGCUCGAAAGCAUGGGUAGCAAACAGGAUUAGAUACC